UACGUAGGCAGCAAGCGUUGUUCGGAAUUACUGGGCGUAAAGAGUGUGUAGGCGGUGCUCUAAGUUCGGUGUGAAAUCUCCCGGCUUAACUGGGAGGGUGCGCCGGAAACUGGAGUGCUUGAGCGCGGGAGAGGGAAAGCGGAAUUCCUGGUGUAGCGGUGAAAUGCGUAGAGAUCGGGAGGAAGGCCGGUGGCGAAGGCGGCGCUCUGGAACGUUUUCUGACACUGAGGCUCGAAAGCGUGGGGAGCAACAGG
rnacentral:rRNA from 1 species